rnacentral:lncRNA from 1 species
UGAAAUGUAACAUGUCCUCUGUUUAGCUAUGGAAACCAUGGUAGAUGGAUGGUAGGCAACCAGUAGUAAAUUACUAUAUGGAGUCUGAUAUGUGGCCUGUGAUUGUUGCAGGUUAGUUUGUUCAGUAUGUUACAGGUGUAUGUGUUGGGUACGAUGUAGUUUUGAUGAUUGACAAACUGACAAAGUGAUAUGAAACAUAUCAGUCAAGCUGGUACUGUCUCAUGUAGCUGAAACUUGUAGCAAAAUCAUCGAUGACUAAAGGCAAGCGUGCAAAAAUCAAGGAAGGAAUAGAUGGGUGGCUAAUUCAAUAAACUCAAGGAAAUAAACAUGUGUUGAUUUAAAGAGUUGGAGUUUGACUAAAACACUAAGGAG